rnacentral:rRNA from 1 species
GCAGUCGUGCGCUUCCAGCUAUGUUGGAAACGCGGCAUACGGCUCCGUAACACGUAGUUAACCUACCCUCAGGACGGGGAUAACCACGGGAAACUGUGGCUAAUACCUGAUAGGUGAUAACGCCUGGAAUGGUCUAUCGCCUAAAUGGCUUCGGGAACAUGCUCUCGAUGCUGCCUGAGGAUGGGACUGCAGCCGAUCAGGUUGUUGGUAGGGUAAUGGCCUACCAAGCCUAUAACCGGUACGGGCCCUGAGAGGGGGAGCCCGGAGAUGGGAACUGAGACAAGGUCCCAGGCCCUACGGGGCGCAGCAGGCGCGGAAACUCCACAAUGCACGAAAGUGUGAUGGGGUUAUCCCGAGUGCCGUCCGAUGAGGAUGGCUUUUCCUUGGUUUAAGGAGCCGAGGGAAUAAGAGGGGGGCAAGACUGGUGUCAGCCGCCGCGGUAAUACCAGCUCCUCGAGUGGUAGGGAUGAUUAUUUGGCCUAAAGCGUUCGUAGCCGGCUUGGUAAGUCCCUUGUGAAGUCCAUCGAUUCAAUCGUUGGGCGUGCAAGGGAUACUGCCAGGCUUGAGGACGGGAGAGGUCGAUGGUACUCCUAGGGUAGGGGUGAAAUCCUAUAAUCCUAGGAGGACCACCAGUGGCGAAGGCGGUCGACUAGAACGUGCCUGACGGUGAUGGACGAAAGCUGGGGGAGCGAACCGGAUUAGAUACCCGGGUAGUCCCAGCCGUAAACGAUGCGGGCUAGGUGUUGGAG